rnacentral:rRNA from 1 species
GGGUCAGUAGGUUGGUCGUGCCACCGGUACGUACUGGUCUCACCGAUUCCUCCUUCCUGAAUAACCGUAAUGCCAUUAAUUUGGUGUUGCGGGGAAACAGGACUGUUACUUUGAAAAAAUUAGAGUGUUUAAAGCAAGCUAACGCUUGAAUACAUUAGCAUGGAAUAAUGAAAUAGGACGAUCGAUCCUAUUUUGUUGGUUUCUAGGAUUGACGUA